rnacentral:lncRNA from 1 species
GCUGCCGCGCCAAAAAAAUUUCGGGACGAGCGCGCGAGAAUAAUUGUGGUGUGCUUUGACCGGUCAGGCUCAAGACUAGUGAGGACUGAGGAGCUGAGGACAGAUACCCAUUCAGCUGCCAGCAGACCCCUCUUCUUCCUCCUCACCCCCUCUCCACUGCCUCCUUCCCCCAGAUUCACCACCAUUAAUCCCCCAAAUCAACCACCAUGGAUUCUCUCCACUAGAAUCUCCGGUCACCCUCCCACCCUAUCUCCGGCAUCAUCGUGCCCUCCACCGCGCCCACUAACUAUCUCCCCUGCCUCUCUAUCCAGAUCUCUCAGUCCAGAUCCAAAGUUGCAGCCUCCACCAGCUCCGGCAACUCCAGCAACCAAAUCCCUGUUCGAGGUUGAAGCUACUGCAUCAAAAUCCCCAAUUACUUCAUUAUUAGGUGGAUGCACCCUAGAUCUACUGGUUUGUCUACAAUUGUUAGAGGGCUCGAUGCAGCUAAGGAUGGCCACAUGGGAAGCAAUGGCCACAGCAUAUGUUCUACUAGAAGAGGAUUUACAUACUUGGGACCUUUGUCGUUAA